AUCAUUUCUUGGCCUUUUGGAUAAGAUCAAGUGGAGCAUCUGUUUUUAUCAGUUCAAUGUCUGAUUCAUCCUCUAUCCAUGAACGUUUGUAUGAAAUGGACUCUGGAAGCCAGCAGCUGGGAUAGCAACUUGCUCUGUCCACUCCAUGCACCAUUUGGGACAGUAGAACCUCCAGGAACCAUGCAAACUUU